CAACACUGUGCUGUAACAAAGUUUACUGUACAGAUCCAGCAACAGUACCAACUCCACAACCUAAAGGGACAACUCCUGAGCCAAGUGAUGAAUUGUCCUCGACCAUGGACCCAGACACAAGCUCAGAUCCCAAGACAUCCACAAGUGAAGAAGCCAG